rnacentral:rRNA from 1 species
ACGCUGGCGGCGUGCUUAACACAUGCAAGUCGAACGAUGAAGCCUAGCUUGCUAGGUGGAUUAGUGGCGAACGGGUGAGUAAUACGUGAGUAACCUACCUUUAACUCUGGGAUAAGCCUGGGAAACUGGGUCUAAUACCGGAUACGACCAAUCUCCGCAUGGGGUGUUGGUGGAAAGCGUUAUGUAGUGGUUAUAGAUGGGCUCACGGCCUAUCAGCUUGUUGGUGAGGUAACGGCUCACCAAGGCGACGACGGGUAGCCGGCCUGAGAGGGUGACCGGCCACACUGGGACUGAGACACGGCCCAGACUCCUACGGGAGGCAGCAGUGGGGAAUAUUGCACAAUGGGCGCAAGCCUGAUGCAGCGACGCCGCGUGAGGGAUGACGGCCUUCGGGUUGUAAACCUCUGUUAGCAGGGAAGAAGAGAAAUUGACGGUACCUGCAGAGAAAGCGCCGGCUAACUACGUGCCAGCAGCCGCGGUAAUACGUAGGGCGCGAGCGUUGUCCGGAAUUAUUGGGCGUAAAGAGCUUGUAGGCGGUUUGUCGCGUCUGCUGUGAAAGGCCGGGGCUUAACCCCGUGUAUUGCAGUGGGUACGGGCAGACUAGAGUGCAGUAGGGGAGACUGGAAUUCCUGGUGUAGCGGUGGAGUGCGCAGAUAUCAGGAGGAACACCGAUGGCGAAGGCAGGUCUCUGGGCUGUAACUGACGCUGAGAAGCGAAAGCAUGGGGAGCGAACAGGAUUAGAUACCCUGGUAGUCCAUGCCGUAAACGUUGGGCACUAGGUGUGGGGGACAUUCCACGUUUUCCGCGCCGUAGCUAACGCAUUAAGUGCCCCGCCUGGGGAGUACGGCCGCAAGGCUAAAACUCAAAGAAAUUGACGGGGGCCCGCACAAGCGGCGGAGCAUGCGGAUUAAUUCGAUGCA